ACUCGCUGACAGAACAGGCUACUCCUCCUUCAUAUAGUAGCCUACUGUACUGUAAAACAUCUCAAACAAGCAUCGAUAUUCCUCGUACACACCCUGGAGAGCGGACGGGGUGUGUCGCGCGCGCGCGCGUCCCGCGUGUAAAGAUGAGGAACUGCGAGAUGGAGCUCCAAUAAAACACAUUCCGCGGUGCAACUCGGAGGAAGAACGUCAUGUGGUUCUGGAACGGCAUCAGGACGAGAUGAUUGAUCAGGGUGGAGAGACAGACAGAGAGAGUAUCAGAUUCAAACACCGCAGGAACAAACGCUCUCAUUUCAAUCCCACCAAGACC